GCGCCUGGAGCGGCUUCUUCUCCUCUUCAAUUUUCAGCCGGCGGUGAGGGUCCGGUCACCUGCAAACACAAGAAAAACACACAGAGCAGUCGGUUUUACUUUGUUGUUUUUUUUAAAUCAGUUUCGUUUUUUCCUUUUUUAGAUCUGCAAUCAAAUCCUUCUAUUCCCGGUGGCUGCUCCUUCGUUCUUCAGACAGCGGAGUGUUGGGUGGCUCGCCGGGCGUUGCUGCGAUGGAAGAGGGGAUCGUGGGUCUGCCACCGGUUGAAGGAGAUGAUGACGGUGCUGCCCCGGCGCUGGAUCUGUUCGGUCGUCGCUGCUGUGGAA
rnacentral:lncRNA from 1 species